GCACAAGCGGUGGAUGAUGUUGGUUUAAUUCGAUGCAACGACGAAAAACCUUAACCCUACCUUUGACAUGUACGGAAUCCUUUAGAGAUAGAGGAGUGCUCGAAGAGAGCCGUAACACAGGUGCUGCAUGGCUGUCGUCAGCUCGUGUCGUGAGAUGUUGGGUUAAGUCCCGCAACGAGCGCAACCCUUGUCAUUAGUUGCUACAUUUGGUUGGGCACUCUAAUGAGACUGCCGGUGACAAGCCGGAGGAAGGUGGGGAUGACGUCAAGUCCUCAUGGCCCUUAUAGGUGGGGCUACACACGUCAUACAAUGGCUGGUACAAAGGGUUGCCAACCCGCGAGGGGGAGCUAAUCCCACAAAGCCAGUCGUAGUCCGGAUCGUAGUCUGCAACUCGACUACGUGAAGUCGGAAUCGCUAGUAAUCGUGGAUCAGAAUGUCACGGUGAAUACGUUCCCGGGUCUU
rnacentral:rRNA from 1 species